UCCGUAGGCGGUGCGGCAAGUCGGAAGUGAAAUCUCUGGGCUUAACCCAGAGGCUGCUUCCGAAACUGCCGUGCUAGAGUGUGAGAGAGGCGAGUGGAAUUACGGGUGUAGCGGUGAAAUGCGUAGAUAUCCGUAGGAACAUCCGAGGCGAAAGCGGCUCGCUGGAUCACAACUGACGCUGAGAGACGAAAGCUAGGGGAGCAAACAGGAUUAGAUACCCUGGUAGUCCUAGCCCUAAACCAUCAGGACUUGGGGUUUGCCCUGUACGGGGCAAGUCCCGUAGCUAACGCGUUAAGUCCUGCGCCUGGGGAGUACGGUCGCAAGGCUGAA
rnacentral:rRNA from 1 species